rnacentral:rRNA from 1 species
CCCUUAGAGUUUGAUCCUGGCUCAGGAUGAACGCUGGCGGCGUGCUUAACACAUGCAAGUCGAACGAAACACCUUAUUUGAUUUUCUUCGGAACUGAAGAUUUGGUGAUUGAGUGGCGGACGGGUGAGUAACGCGUGGGUAACCUACCCUGUACAGGGGGAUAACAGUCAGAAAUGACUGCUAAUACCGCAUAAGACCACAGCACCGCAUGGUGCAGGGGUAAAAACUCCGGUGGUACAGGAUGGACCCGCGUCUGAUUAGCUGGUUGGUGAGGUAACGGCUCACCAAGGCGACGAUCAGUAGCCGGCUUGAGAGAGUGAACGGCCACAUUGGGACUGAGACACGGCCCAAACUCCUACGGGAGGCAGCAGUGGGGAAUAUUGCACAAUGGGGGAAACCCUGAUGCAGCGACGCCGCGUGAGUGAAGAAGUAUCUCGGUAUGUAAAGCUCUAUCAGCAGGGAAGAAAAAGACGGUACCUGACUAAGAAGCCCCGGCAACUCUG